AAGACCCUUCCAACCCAACCAUUGUGGGAUUCUAUAGUUCUAGGAUCUUUAAGGACCCCUCCAACCCAACCACCCUAUGGUUCUGUGGUCUAUAAGGUCCCUUCCAACCCAACCGUUGUGCAUUUCUAUGGCCUUAUGAUCUUCAAGGACCCUUCCAACCCAACCACUGUGAACUUACAUAGUUCUAUGACCAUCAGAGAUCCUCCCAACCCAACCAUCCUAUUGUUCUAUUGUCUGUAAGAUCCCUUCCAACCCAACCAUUGUGGGAUUCUAUAGUUCUAUGAUCUUCAAGGACCCUUCCAACCCAACCACUGUGAACUUAUAUAGCUCUAUGAUCUUCAAAGACCCUCCCAACCCAACCAUCCUAUUGUUCUAUUGUCUUUACAGUCCCUUCCAACCCAACCAUAAUGGGAUUCUAUAGUUCUAUGAUCUUUAAGGACCCUUCCAACCCAACCACCCUAUGGUUCUGUGGUCUAUAAGGUCCCUUCCAACCCAACCGUUGUGCACUUCUAUGGCCCUAUGAUCUUCAAGGACCCUUCCAACCCAACCACUAUGAUUUUAUAUAGUUCCAUGAUCGUCAGAGAUCCUCCCAACCCAACCAUCCUACUGUUCUAUGGUCUAUAAUGUCCCUUCCAACCCAACCAUAAUGGGAUUCUAUAGUUCUAUGAUCUUCAAGGACCCUUCCAACCCAACCACUGUGAACUUAUAUAGCUCUGUGACCUUCAAAGACCCUUCCAACCCAACCACUGUGGGAUUCUAUAGUUCUAUGAUCUUUAAGGACCCCUCCAACCCAACCACCCUAUGGUUCCGUGGUCUAUAAGAUUCCUUCCAACCCAACCAAUGUGCAUUUCUAUGGCCCUAUGAUCUUCAAGGACCCUUCCAACCCAACCAUUGUGAACUUACAUAGUUCUGUGACCUUCAAGGACCCUCCCAACCCAACCAUCCUAUUGUUAUAUUGUCUAUAAGAUCCCUUCCAACCCAACCAUUGUGGGAUUCUAUACUUCUAUGAUCUGUAAGGACCCUUCCAACCCAACCAUUGUGAGUUUCUAUGGUUCUAUGAUCUUCAAGGACCCUUCCAACUCAACCACCCUAUGGUUCUUUAUUGUCUUUACGGUCCCUUCCAGCCCAUGAGCCAUGGUUCUGAUUCCACGAUCCUACAAAUCCAUGACCCUAUGAUUCCACCAUGCCACAGUUCUAUGACCCCAUGACCCCAUGUUUCCAUGACCCCACGUUUCCAUGAUCCCGCGCCCCUACAAAUCCAUGAUCCUAUGAGUCUACCUCCAUGAUUCUAUGAUCCCAUGACCCCAUGAUCCCAUGACCCCACGUUUCCAUGAUCCCGUGCCCCUACAAAUCCAUGAUCCUAUGAUCUACCUCCAUGAUUCUACGAUCCCAUGAUCCCAUGAUCCCCAUGUUUCCAUGACCCCACGUUUCCAUGACCCCGCGCCCCUACAAAUCCAUGAUCCUAUGAGUCUACCUCCAUGAUUCUACGAUCCCAUGACCCCAUGAUCCCAUGUUUCCAUGACCCCAUGUUUCCAUGACCCUACGUUUCCAUGAUCCCAUGCCCCUACAAAUCCAUGAUCCUCUGAGUCUACCUCCAUGAUUCCAUGACCCCAUGAACCCAUAACCCCAUGUUUCCAUGACCCCACGUUUCUAUGAUCCCGUGCUCCUACAAAUCCAUGAUCCUAUGAGUCUAUCUCCAU
ensembl:lncRNA